UUUUUUCUUCCUAUAAGCCUUCAAUACCACCAAUCACCAAUGCGCCGCCUUCUUAUGCCAAAAUACGGCCCCUCCUUUGCAGGGUGUAAAACGACACUGAUGUCACUCUCUUUCACCAGGGUCUGGCCAUCUCUCUGAAGCUCUCCUCACAGGCGCCCUGCAGAUUCAUCAAUAAACUUCAACAGGAUCCAAGGCCUCUUAGCACAAACGCCACCUCUAGAGUUUCCAGUACACCCACAUCAUCCUGGGGAUUAUGUGCUCAUCAAAAGCUGGAGAAAGAAAAACUGGAACCAUCAUGGGAGGGACGCUAUCUAAUACUCCUAACACCUGAAACAGCAGUCCCAACAGCUGAACAGGGGUGGACUCAUCACACUCGGGUAAAAAGGACCCCACCCCUUAUGGAAUCAUGGACCACCACUCCAGGACCAACUCCCUCAAAAUUAACAUUCAAAAGGUC